rnacentral:rRNA from 1 species
AACGAACGCUGGCGGCAUGCCUAACACAUGCAAGUCGAACGAGACCAUCGGGUCUAGUGGCGCACGGGUGCGUAACGUGUGGGAACCUGCACUUAGGUAUGGAAUAACACCCCGAAAGGGGUGCUAAUACCGGAUAAUGUCUUCGGACCAAAUAUUGAUCGCCUUUGGGUGGGCAGGCGUUGGAUUAGCUAGUUGGUAGGGUAAAAGCCUACCAAGGCGACGAUCCAUAGCUGGUAUCAGAGGCAGGGCAGCCACACUGAGACGGAGACGCGGCCGGGACUCCUACACGAGGAAGCAGUGCGUGAUAUUGGACAAUCGGGUAAGUCAUGAUCCCCCAAUGCCGCUAAAGAGAUGAAGUCGUUAAAGUAGUACAGCACUUUUACCCGGCAUGAUAAUGACAGUACCCGGAGAAUAAGCUCCGGCUAACUCCGUG